GAUGAAGAACGCAGCGAAAUGCGAUAAGUAAUGUGAAUUGCAGAAUUCAGUGAAUCAUCGAAUCUUUGAACGCACCUUGCACCCUUUGGCAUUCUGAAGGGUAUGCUCGUUUGAGUGUCAUUGUACUCUCACACUCCCGAUCUUUGCAUUGGGAGCAGUGGACUUGGGUUUGCUGCUUCACCGUCGCUUACCUCAAAUAGGAUAGUGCAACUCUUGGUUGGACAUAGUACGGCGUGAUAAGUGUUCUUCGCCGGUGCCUCGCAAAGAGGGUGGCCGAUCGGGAUGUUGUGCUCCAAACCGUCUUCGGACAAUCUCUGACGACUUGACCUCAAAUCGAGUAAGACUACCCGCUGAACUUAAGCAUAUCAAUAAGCGGAGGA
rnacentral:misc_RNA from 1 species